UAAUAUAAAAGGAGCGUUUGCUUCACUAGAGGAUCGGGGUGCGGAACAUUAGUUUGUUGGUAAGGUAAUGGCUUACCAAGACGAUGAUGUUUAGCGGGGUUGAGAGACUGAUCCGCCACACUGGGACUGAGAUACGGCCCAGACUCCUACGGGAGGCAGCAGUAGGGAAUUUUCCACAAUGGACGAAAGUCUGAUGGAGCGACACAGCGUGCAGGAAGACGGCCUUCGGGUUGUAAACUGCUGUUAUAAGGGAAGAAAAAGCAGUAGAGGAAAUGCUAUUGCCUUGACGGUACCUUGUCAGAAAGCAACGGCUAACUAUGUGCCAGCAGCCGCGGUAAUACAUAGGUUGCAAGCGUUAUCCGGAAUUAUUGGGCGUAAAGCGUCUGUAGGUUGUGUGUUAAGUCUGGCGUUAAAACUUGGGGCUCAACCCCAAAUUGCGUUGGAUACUGGCACGCUAGAAUUGUGUAGAGGUUAGCGGAAUUCCUAGUGAAGCGGUGAAAUGCGUAGAUAUUAGGAAGAACACCAACAUGGCGAAGGCAGCUAACUGGGCACAUAUUGACACUGAGAGACGAAAGCGUGGGGAGCAAACAGGAUUAGAUACCCUGGUAGUCCACGCUGUAAACGAUGAUGAUUAGCUGAUAGAGAACUAUCGGCGCAGCUAACGCAUUAAAUCAUCCGCCUGAGUAGUAUGCUCGCAAGAGUGAAACUUAAAGGAAUUGACGGGGACCCGCACAAGCGGUGGAGCAUGUGGUUUAAUUUGAAGAUACGCGUAGAACCUUACCCACUCUUGACAUCUUCCGCAAUGCUAUAGAGAUAUAGCGGAGGCUAACGGAAUGACAGAUGGUGCAUGGUUGUCGUCAGCUCGUGUCGUGAGAUGUUCGGUUAAGUCCUGCAACGAGCGCAACCCUUAUCCUUAGUUAAAUGUUCUAGGGAGACUGCCCGAGUAAUUGGGAGGAAGGUGGGGACGACGUCAAAUCAUCAUGCCUCUUACGAGUGGGGCAACACACGUGCUACAAUGGAUAGUACAAAGAGAAGCAAUACGGUGACGUGGAGCAAAUCUCAAAAAACUAUUCUCAGUUCGGAUUGUAGUCUGCAACUCGACUACAUGAAGUCGGAAUCGCUAGUAAUCGUAGAUCAGCUACGCUACGGUGAAUACGUUCUCGGGUCUUGUACACACCGCCCGUCACACCAUGGGAGCUGGUAAUGCCCGAAGUCGGUUUUGUUAACUACGGAGACAACUGCCUAAGGCAGGGCCGGUGACUGGGGUGAAGUCGUAACAAGGUAUCCCUACGAGAACGUGGGGAUGGAUUACCUCCUUU
rnacentral:rRNA from 1 species